CAGCAGAGAGACAGUAUAUGCUUCUUUCAUCAUGACUUUUGACAACAUGUGCAGGCUCACUCUGACUGCAGGUCUCUGUUUGAUCAUGGCCAGCUUGG